rnacentral:rRNA from 1 species
GUGCCAGUCGCCGCGGUAAUACGAAGGGGGCUAGCGUUGCUCGGAAUCACUGGGCGUAAAGGGUGCGUAGGCGGGUCUUUAAGUCAGGGGUGAAAUCCUGGAGCUCAACUCCAGAACUGCCCUUGAUACUGAGGAUCUUGAGUUCGGGAGAGGUGAGUGGAACUGCGAGUGUAGAGGUGAAAUUCGUAGAUAUUCGCAAGAACACCAGUGGCGAAGGCGGCUCACUGGCCCGAUACUGACGCUGAGGCACGAAAGCGUGGGGAGCAAACAGGAUUAGAAACCCUGGUAGUCC